GAGAGAGAGAGAGAGAGAGAGAGAGUGCAGGUAGACGAGGAAGAGAAGAAGGAGGAAAAUUGCGAUUCGUUGGGUCGCGGUGGGGGAAAUGCAUCGAUCCAUCGAUCGCGAUACGAAGUUGAGCGCGAGAAGGGAAAUCGAGGGGGGGUGGUGGUGGGUUCGAGAGAAAUCGAUCGUGUCGGUGCAAUUAUGUCAACAAAUAAACGGAACCCCCAGGUAUUAUACCCAUCACGCUCCACCCCUUCUUUGAAUGGAUCCGAAAGGCAAUAGUCUCGGUCGAAUCAAUACGCAUUCGCGUCAUGCGAUUGGAAACGGGAGUGAAGUUGAGGGAAGGAAGGGAGGGAGGGAAAGAGGGAGCGAGAAUGGUCGUGUGCGUGUGUGUGUGCGCGCCCUCUUCGGAUCGACACCUCUCUCGUGCACACGUGUCUCGUGCGCGUCGGAAAAACAAGGAUCGGUCGAGAGAGAGAGAGAGAGAGAGAGAGCGAUGGUGGUCGGUGUGUCGUUGACGGUAAACAUUGGCCCGCGCCAGUGUCGGUUAAUAACUCGAUCGUCGAGGCCGAAGCGAGUCGGAGGGAGUUUCGACGAAUCCCCAAAAUCGAAGUCGAAGUCCGCCUGUUUUUCGCCUGAAACUCGAACGUUUCGAAAUUCGUUCCCUCUCCCUCUCCCUCGUUGUUGCCACCAGAGAAGUGCCCAGCAACUGUUCGGUCUUUGGACGAAAGAAGAAGAAGAGGAAUCUAGUGCACGCGUGCUCGCUCCGCGAAGGACACACGUGCGCGUUCCGCGGUCGAAGCAAGGAAACUCGCCGCUUUGGGCGAGAUUGCAACAAGUUGCAUUUAAAAGCCCUACCUUCCGUACCGCCGGCAUACUUUCGUUUUUCUCUUUCCACCGCUCGCUCCGCCUUUUCUUCUUCCCUUUCCACCCCUCCUCUCUCUCUCUCUCUCUCUCCUUAACUUCUCGCCUCCUCUCGCCGCUAUUCAAACCCGUGGAAAUACCACGUUCGCGUCUUUUUUCUCUCCAAACUUUCUUAAUUUCGACGCACGAUCAUCGAGAAGAGAGAGAGAGAGAGAGAGAGAGAGAGAGAGCAAUUUAAUUAUUACGAGCAAUCUCUCGACCAAUCGGAUCGAGGACAAAGUCCUCGUUGCUCGCCAGAUUCGAAUCUCCCCCUCCUCUCAGUGGAGAGUUUCGGUCGAGUAGGUGGUCGUUCCCGCGACCGGUCCAAAGAUUUUCCUCCACCACCUUCUCUCCUCUUCCACGUUUUCGUCUACGUUGCGAUCGUGGCCCGUGAUUCCGUGGUGAAAAUUAGACGGCCUCUCCCUCUUCAAACCGGGAUAGAGAGAGAGCAAGAGAGAGAGAGAGAGAGCUGUCCCGGUGCCAAACCCGGUUAUCGUGGCGAGAGAUCGGGAUGACGCUGCGCUGCUCAAAAAUCGCGGAAACUUGGAAAUCCGAGUUUUCGAGAAGUGUUUAAAAACGGUGGAGAAGACUUUUAAACCCGUGACUCUGGUUGUGCGAAAUCCGCUGCCAGAGACCCUUUCCACCGAGAAAGGGUCUCGACAACUCGACGCGUCUCUCCCUCGACGCGUCACACUCGCGACGACGUCGUUCCGCUAAAAUAAACGCCGUAUCCAUCCUUCCCUUCGCUCCUCCCCCUUGUCGGACAGCUUGUUAGUUGUCGGACGAUUCGAGAGGAUUGUUUUCGGGGGAGGAGGGAGGAGGAAGGAGGGUCUGGUAUUCGAGACGAGAGAGAGAGAGAAAAGAACAGACUUCUGCUAAGUAAAAAAAGUAGAGUACGAGUCGAAACGAGAAAUCUGCUGCGCGAUCGUCGAUCGAGGAGGCGAAUACAAUACUGGCUGGCGCGUAUUGUGCGUAGAUCGGUGCCGCCGCGAUCGAGGCCGAAGAGGAAGGUGGAAUACGAUCUAUAGGAAAAUAGCGGGGAAUAAUUGGAACGAGGAUAUCCUGGACAGGCGAAAGUGGAGGUACGGGAUCCACGAUCGUCGACCAACGAACGACGAUGGAUCUUACGCUGCUCUUCAUCCUCGCCGUGCUCCUCGGACAAGAGGUGACGGGGUUGAAGCUGCUCGGCAUAAACGUCCCGGCAUACUCCCUUAGGGGCAAGAGCGCGCUUCUCGAGUGCAGGUAAGAGGCACUUGGACGUGGCGGUGGUGGUGGUGGUAGUGGUGGUGGUGCAACGUCGUCGAACGUCGUAUCGUUUUCAAAGGGAUUCUUCUUCCCUUCCUCCACGCGUCUCGUUUUUCUUCCCAUCGAUCCCAUCGAUUCCC